AUGCAGAUGGCGGCGACCACCACCACCACCGACUCCUCCCAGGCGGGCGCGUGCCGCCUCACCACCCUCACCCUCACGCCCACCCGCACCCGCACGCGCACCCGCACCCGCACCACCCCAUGGCGCAGGCGCGGUGGGUCGUCCUGCCUUACCCGCCUCCGCCGCCGCCCAUGGUGGCCGCUCCGCCGCCCCCGCCGCCGCAGUACGCCAAGCACUUCGCGGCGGGGCCGCCCCCCGCCGCGGCGGCCGGGCGGCGCACGCCGACCCCGCCCGCCCCCGCCGGAUCCGGCGGGAACGGGUGCGAGGAGAACAAGACGAUCUGGGUUGGCGACCUCCAGUAUUGGAUGGACGAGAACUACCUCCACAGCUGUUUCGGACCCAGCGGCGAGGUAGUGACGAUAAAAGUUAUCCGCAAUAGACAAACUGGACAAUCCGAGGGAUAUGGUUUUGUAGAGUUCUACUCUCACGGAUCGGCAGAGAAGGCUCUUCAGAAUUUUACUGGUCAUGUGAUGCCUAACACUGAUCGACCUUUCAAGUUAAACUGGGCUUCAUAUAGCAUGGGUGAAAAGCGAUCUGAAGUUGCUUCUGACUACUCAAUUUUCGUUGGUGAUCUAGCUGCUGAUGUUACUGAUGAAAUGUUGAUGGAGCUUUUUGCUAAUAAGUACCGCUCUGUGAAAGGAGCUAAAGUUAUUAUUGAUGCAAACACAGGCCGUUCUAGGGGCUAUGGGUUUGUUAGAUUUGGAGAUGACAAUGACAAAUCCCAUGCAAUGACUGAAAUGAAUGGUGCGUAUUGCUCUACUAGGCCAAUUCGUAUUGGACCUGCAACUCCCAGAAGGUCUUCAGGUGAUUCUGGCUCCUCAACACCUGGGCAUUCAGAUGGCGAUUCUACUAACAGAACGGUAUAUGUUGGUGGGCUCGAUCCAAAUGUCAGCGAAGAUGAGCUGAGGAAGGCAUUUGCCAAAUAUGGUGAUGUUGCCUCUGUAAAAAUUCCUCUAGGGAAGCAAUGUGGCUUUGUUCAAUUCGUCAGCAGAACUGAUGCGGAAGAAGCACUGCAAGGAUUGAAUGGAUCAGUCAUUGGAAAGCAGGCAGUUCGCCUUUCAUGGGGCCGCAGCCCAUCACAUAAACAGUCUAGGGCUGAUUCUGGCAGCCGAAGAAACAAUAUGUACUAUGGGACGCCAUUCUACGGUGGAUACGGUUAUGCCUCCCCCGUCCCGCACCCUAACAUGUAUGCUGCUGCAUAUGGAGCCUACCCUGUCUAUGGCAGUCAGCAGCUAGUGAGCUAGAGAAGAGAGAGAGAGAGAGAGCUUCAUUCCAUUCCCUCCAAUGGAAAACAAGGUUUUGGUCCGGUCAGCAUGGUAGCGCCAGAUGUGAGGUUAUAGAACGUCCUAAAAGCGAGUGAAACAGGUAAAAUGAAUGUAUGGUAUCUGUAGUGUUGUCUGUGUUGCAAGAAGUAUAACUCAAGGCUUGUAGACACAAGUGAGUCGAUGGUAUUCUUUCAAGAAAUUUUGACUUGCUAAUAAAUUAAACUAUUGUUUGUGUGUCCCCGUUGUGCGAAGUAAUUUGCCUGU